rnacentral:rRNA from 1 species
GACGAACGCUGGCGGCGUGCUUAACACAUGCAAGUCGAACGGAAAGGCCCUGCUUGCCGGGUACUCGAGUGGCGAACGGGUGAGUAACACGUGGGUGAUCUGCCCUGCACUUCGGGAUAAGCCUGGGAAACUGGGUCUAAUACCGGAUAGGAGCCAUUUUUAGUGUGAUGAUUGGAAAGUUUUUUCGGUGUAGGAUGAGCUCGCGGCCUAUCAGCUUGUUGGUGGGGUAAUGGCCUACCAAGGCGGCGACGGGUAGCCGGCCUGAGAGGGUGGACGGCCACAUUGGGACUGAGAUACGGCCCAGACUCCUACGGGAGGCAGCGGUGGGGAAUAUUGCACAAUGGGCGCAAGCCUGAUGCAGCGACGCCGCGUGGGGGAUGACGGCCUUCGGGUUGUAAACUCCUUUCGCUAGGGACGAAGCUUUUUGUGACGGUACCUAGAUAAGAAGCACCGGCUAACUACGUG